rnacentral:rRNA from 1 species
UACGGAGGGAGCUAGCGUUGUUCGGAAUUACUGGGCGUAAAGCGCACGUAGGCGGCUUUGCAAGUUAGAGGUGAAAGCCCGGGGCUCAACCCCGGAAUUGCCUUUAAGACUGCAUCGCUCGAAUCCAGGAGAGGUGAGUGGAAUUCCGAGUGUAGAGGUGAAAUUCGUAGAUAUUCGGAAGAAACACCAGUGGCGAAGGGCGGCUCACUGGACUGGUAAUUGACGCUGAGGUGCGAAAGCGUGGGGAGCAAACAGGG